rnacentral:lncRNA from 1 species
AUCAUUGUACACUAUGUCAUAAACUCUAUAGACCAGUUUACAGUCAGGUAAGUCAUAAUGUAUAGGACUACUACAAAUAUAUUGAUCUUUUUCCUCAAAAAUCCAUUGACAUUUGGCACUCUCCCUCUUUCUUCCAUUGGACUAUAAAUGCAGGAUCUUGUUGGUUUGAUCAUCUCAAUACUCCUUUUAGCAGAUCAGCUUAGUCUUGGUUGUUUUACUUCAGCUUUACUCCAUAUUAUUUUUGGAUGUCUUGGUUUUGUAUAUUCUUCCUCUUGGGAUACUUCUGCCAUUUCCCACGGGCAUCAAUGCGUUAUUUAGUCAUGGACACUGCAGGCGGUUGGUUGUCCUCGCUCGUGUAUAUACUUUAUGGAAUAUAACUUAUGCGAUAAUUUUCGUAAGUGGUUAUUGCAUAUGCCUCAUCUUAUUUUUCCUCGUCUAUUGUAUUUAGUUGUUCUUCUAACGUUAUUCAUGAACUUCUUCAAUGGUAAACUUGAUAACAUUUAGAGUCGACAAUACUGCAUUAACAAACCCUUACAUUCUCUAUAACAUUGGAAGAUUACAUGUUCUAAAAUAUCACAAUUACCAUUUUUUUAGAGAAACAUAAUGUUAGUAUUUCUUUAAUAGGAAAUGUUGCACUUCCCUUUUAUGUGCUCUUUUGUCUGGAAGUACUAUGGAAGGUGUGAAAGAUUUUCACUAAAACAAUCUCUUACGUGCAAUAUUGCUAACACAGGCAGAAAUAUAUUGUUAAAAGUAAAUUAAUGCUUCUAUCAUUAAGAAGAAUAUAUGAAAUGUUCACUUAGGGUGAAGAUUGAAUGUUAUGUAGUGUCCAAGAAAAAUGUUGAUUCGUUCAGAAUGUUAAGACAUUUAUUCGUGAUUUUCUUUUCUUUAUCAACAAGAAAAAAGCUAUGUAAGCAUAUAUUGCCCGUUAACAAAUUAAGCUGACAAUGGCAGUGCCCUUGCAGCAUAGUUCGCCUACUUAACAUCUAAUGCCCUCCGAAAGGAAGGAAUGAGUUGCUUUCUUCUAGCAUCAAAGUAUAAAGAAUUAGUAAGUAGGAUCCUUGAAGCCCGCCCGCCAAAGGGCUAUGUCGAGUGAUUCCUCUUGCAGUGUAUUUUGACUAUAGCUUUUAGACAACUUACAGCUAAGUCACUAAUCAUACAGUCACUAUUGAGACAUUGAAUGCUUUCUCCUAUCAUCUUUGGUUUGACUCUUUUUUGAAAGAAGAUUCUCUACCCUGCCUGGUAGGAAGAGCCUCGAGUCUAUCUGGAAAGGAUAUGGUGUGUUCAAGAAAAUCUCACAAGUAUACGGGAUUGUUGACAAGUAGUACGUAGUGAAUUGGGAAUAAUGUUCAACUAUAGUAUACUAGUUACAAUCAAAUUAGAUCAAUGUAAUACAAAUGAGUUCAGUUUGUUUGUAAUUAUCCUAUUUUACCCUAUGAAUUAUGUAAAAGAUCGAUUUUUUUUAAUAUCAAAUAAUGAG